UGUCUCCAUAUUCCUCCAUGACAUAUCUGGGACAAACAUAUAUCUCUUCUUUCACUCUAGCAUACUAAUGUACUGCCAUUCCUCAAAGCAUUCAUAUUGAUAUAAAUUGUAAAAUGAUAUACCAUGCUUGCAGACAUCUUUAGACAACAGUUUUUGGUGGAUACCUAAGGGUCCGUAGUUCAUUCAUAUAAUAUUGAGACUAAGUCUAGUUUUGCAUUGAUUUACCUUUAAAAUCUUAAAAUACAUGACUCUGAUAAAUGUAAUAUUUUUUCUUUCUAAUUCCUCCAAACAGAUCUUUUAUUUUACUUAAGUAAUAUACUUUUUUGAUGACUUGAUCUUUCAAAUGUUUGAUUUCUGACAAAGUUGUGCUGACAAAUAUUUUUAUAUAUGCAUGUUUUUGUAUAUUUUAAUAAAAAGCUGUAACCAUGACAACAAC
rnacentral:misc_RNA from 1 species